rnacentral:rRNA from 1 species
CCGCCGCGGUAACACCGGCAGCCCGAGUGGUGAUCACUAUUAUUGGGUCUAAAGGGUCCGUAGCCGGUUUAAUCAGUCUUCUGGGAAAUCUAAUCGCUUAACUAUUAGGCUUCCAGGGGAUACUGUUAGACUUGGGACCGGGAGAGGUAAGAGGUACUGCAGGGGUAGGAGUGAAAUCUUGUAAUCCCUGUGAGACCACCAGUGGCGAAGGCGUCUUACCAGAACGGGUCCGACGGUGAGGGACGAAAGCUGGGGGCACGAACCGGAUUAGAUACCCGGGUAGUCCCAGCUGUAAACGAUGCUCGUUAGGUGUCAGGAACGGUGCGACUGUUUCUGGUGCCGAAGGGAAGCCGUGAAACGAGCCACCUGGGAAGUACGGCCGCAAGGCUGAAACUUAAAGGAAUUGGCGGGGGAGCACUACAACGGGUGGAGCCUGCGGUUUAAUUGGACUCAACGCCGGAAAACUCACCGGGGGCGACAGCAAUAUGUAGGUCAGGUUAAAGGUCUUACCUGAAUCGCUGAGAGGAGGUGCAUGGCCGUCGUCAGUUCGUACUGUGAAGCAUCCUGUUAAGUCAGGCAACGAGCAAGACCCGUGCCCACUGUUACCAGCAUAUCCUUUAUGGAUGAUGGGGACUCUGUGGGGACCGCUGCUGCUAAAGCAGAGGAAGGUGCGGGCUACGGUAGGUCAGUAUGCCCCGAAUCUCCCGGGCUACACGCGGGCUACAAUGGUUGGGACAAUGGGUAUCUACUCCGAAAGGAGUUGGCAAUCUCUUAAACCCAAUCGUAGUUCGAAUUGAGGGCUGUAACUCGCCACUCAUGAAGCUGGAAUCCGUAGUAAUCGCGUUUCAACAUAGCGCGG